rnacentral:rRNA from 1 species
UACGUAGGGUGCAAGCGUUAAUCGGAAUUACUGGGCGUAAAGCGUGCGCAGGCGGCUUUGCAAGACAGAUGUGAAAUCCCCGGGCUUAACCUGGGAACUGCAUUGGUGACUGGCAGGCUUUGAGUGUGGCAGAGGGGGGUAGAAUUCCACGUGUAGCAGUGAAUGCGUAGAGAUGUGGAGGAAUACCGAUGGCGAAGGCAGCCCCUGGCCAACACUGACGCUCAUGCACGAAAGCGUGGGGAGCAACAGG